rnacentral:rRNA from 1 species
AUUGAACGCUGGCGGCAGGCCUAACACAUGCAAGUCGAGCGAGCGGCGGACGGGUGAGUAAUGUCUGGGAAACUGCCUGAUGGAGGGGGAUAACUACUGGAAACGGUAGCUAAUACCGCAUACCAUCAGAUGUGCCAAGAUGGGAUUAGCUAGUAGGUUGGGUAACGGCUCACCUAGGCGACGAUCCCUAGCUGGUCUGAGAGGAUGACCAGCCACACUGGAACUGAGACACGGUCCAUACUCCUACGGGAGGCAGCAUAGGGUAAUAUUGCACAAUGGGCGCAAGCCUGAUGCAGCCAUGCCGCGUGGGUGAAGAAGGCCUUCGGGUUGUAAAGCACUUUCAGCGGGGAGGCGUUACCCGCAGAAGAAUCACCGGCUAACUCCGUGCCAGCAGCCGCGGUAAUAC